AAUAGGUUUCAGCAGCUGUCUGACAAAACUAUCCCUGUACUAAAAGUAAAAAAAGAAAAAAAAUUGUGAUCGGAAACACAAGCAGGAAUUUUGAUGCUGCUAAAAUUACUUUCAAUUUUCAAAUUCACAAGCAAAGUGCACUCCCAAAAUCUCUGACAUUUUCCAAGGCUAUUUAAAACAUCUGUCUCCAGAUAAAAAUAUAAGGAUGUGGACAUAUUAAUUUGUUGAAUCAUCAAAAUACUCUAUUGGUGGGUCCCACACUAAUUUUAAAGGUAUGAUAAAUAUGCUGAGCUGUAUAUAUCCAUCAACUGGUGUGAUUUCUGUUAGAAACUCUGUUACAAUUUGAAUAUUUUUCUGUACACAUCUGACUUGGAUGUCUAAGGUAAGUGGUAGGAUAGGUCUACCGUACGCAUGCUGGGAUUGCAGUGAAUCAAAUUUCAAGAUUUAGGCUUAAAUGGACAAAUUGUGACUACAACUGUGAAUAGGAAUUGUUUUAUUUUAGGAGUGCAAGCAAGUAAUGCAGCUAAGACCACCACCUAUAAUACUACCAGGGCAGGUAAUGAAACUAUUUACAAGCAGUUUGCCAACUUAUCUGAGGUCUGCCAGGCUCCAGUCACCGCUUUCAGAAGAGCCAGAGGUUCUCUUCUCUGAGCUAACGCAGCGGUGCAGGUAUUAAUUCCCUUCCAUUCAGCUG